CUUUGGGCCCCAUUUGGGGCCACCAAUGCUUUUAAAAAAAAACUUU
rfam:Xenopus laevis strain J chromosome 8S, whole genome shotgun sequence.